rnacentral:rRNA from 1 species
CACGUAGGGUGCGAGCGUUGUCCGGAAUUAUUGGGCGUAAAGAGCUCGUAGGCGGUGUGUCGCGUCGGCCGUGAAAACCUGCAGCUUAACUGUGGGCUUGCGGUCGAUACGGGCAUCGCUGGAGUUCGGCAGGGGAGACUGGAAUUCCUGGUGUAGCGGUGAAAUGCGUAGAUAUCAAGAGGAACACCUGCGGCGAAGGCGGGUUGCUGGGCCGACACUGACGCUGAGGCGCGAAAGCCAGGGGAGCGAACGGG